GGAGAGGGUAAGCGAUUCUAAAAUUAUGUGGAGAUGGAUUAAAAGAAAUGAGAAUAACAGAGAAAAGAAGUGCAAAAGGAGGAAGAAAAUAUCUAGUUAAAACAAUAUUGCAAAAAUGUAAUGGGAAUAGAGAAUUAUUUUUAUUUUUCUACCUUUAGCUUAGAGAUGGAAAGCUUUUCUGCCUCUGCUAUGUUUUAAAUUUAACACAUUUUUUAU